GGGUGGGGGGGCAUUUUGAGGCUCAGGAGGUUGUAGUCCAAAAUAUUAGAUGUGUGUACAUAUGCAUGCUCAUUUUACCUUAACAUUCACCAUUUUACAUUUUAUUUUCAAUUUUCAUUUAAGGUAACUAGGAAGUGGGUGGGGAUGUAAAAUAUCUGAGGGAGGUUGUUGGAGUAUGAGUGGGGAAUGGUGAAAUAUGGUUAGGUUCAGCUUGCUGGUAACCCCUUUUGCUCCUCCCUCGAACCAUGGAUGUUGUUCUUUUUUGCUCUUGAUAUUACAUAUUACGGCAAAGAUAAAGAAGUCAGUGAGGAAGCCAUCCAACUGGCUUACAAUUAAAGGACGAUGGUUCUAAACUAGUCCUGGCUUCCAAAACUCUAAAUGCUGUUUUUUUAUAUAUUUUUUUUCAUAGUUGCGGCGUUUUUGCUCCCGUCCAAAUCCAGUAUAAAAAACCGAGCGCGCUGAAGUAUUAAGUUAGUUCUAAACAUUUGCAUGCUUAUGACGAAAGAAUGCUCUGAAGGGCUCCUUAACUGCCUCUUUUCCUCCACCAUCAGAGAUGGAAAGUAGACAUAUUACCUAUAAUUUGUGUCAGUAAGGCAUGCAUCUCAACAAUAACAAAUGAACUGUACCAUCUACUGUAUUACAAUAACUGGGGGGAAAAUUCAAACAAGUUAGGUAAUUUUUUGUAAGAAAAACUUGGUAUUGCAAUGAUUACUUGAUGUAUUUAUAGUGAUGACCUUGAUUAAUUGGUCUUUGAACCCAUAUAAUUUAAAUGUUAAUUAACAUCUGUAAUUUUGUGACAUAAUUUAACCUUCUAAAUGUGAGAACUGGAAUGGUAUUCUAAGGUGAACAUGAUGUGUUUCAAAAGUAGGGUAAAUUUUUUCCACCAAAUAUUUAGGAAAAUUUAAUUAUGUUUAUCCGAAAUGCAUACACUAUGGGUCCUGACAGUGCAAUUUACUUCCCUUUGUGUCAAAUUGUUAAUUUGCAGGUGGAUGUAAGAAAGUUAAGGCUGUUAGUAUACAUUUCUUUACACUUUCCAAAGAAAGUAAAAAAAACAGUAGAUUCACACUCAGAUGUUUAAUUAAUAUGUCAUCUAACAGAAUUUGACAGGUGUAUAGAGAGUAAAAAAUUUGAGUCUUAUUGAGUUAUUGUCUUGUUUCAGAUUUGUUUGGUUGGUUGUGUGAAGGAGAUAGCUUUUCCUUUUCAGGCCUGUGUUCUUGAAGAACUGUUGGGGUUUGAAAAGGAAGAGCUGCUCCAGGUUCUGUCAACUGAGAAUGCAGGGUUGAAUGAGAAUAUGGGAAAUGGUCCUCAACCAAGGAAGAGAAUGAUACAGUUGUUGUAUGUAUGUAUUAUGAAACAUUAAUGAUGCAGACAGUUAUUAUGAAUAACUACAUUUAUAUAUUUUUUCUUCUGUAGAAUAUUUCCUCUGUUGAACAGGUAAUGUAUAACUGAUGAAUGAGUAUGCCUUAACAGUUCUAGUUUUUAUGUAUUUCUGCAUUGCUUUUUUUCAAAGCAGUUUGAGUGUACACAGAUUUCAAUGUAUAUCACCUGGCGUUGAGUAAAAAUUAUUUUUCGAAAUCAGUGCUACUAAAAAAUUUCAAGUUUACCAGUGAUUUUUAGUGAUGUAUGCAUGUAUAUCAUUAUAUGUUGUAUUAGCAUUGAUUUGAAAGAAAAGUAUUUAGUUCCAUAUCCUUAAUUGCACUCACGUGCUAAACAGAGGUAAUGUACUGCAUUUUAACUGUAAUACUUAGAAUGAAUAUCAAACAUAGCUCCACCUUCGGAUAAUAGGGGGGCUAUACUACUUGCCCCGGUGUGGGCGUCAGUGUUAAAGUUUUUUGGCAACCUUUGUUUUUCUGUCAUAUCUUUCUUACUAUUCCUUAUAUCAUACUGUAACUUUACAUAAACAUUGAACAGCAUACAAACAAAGUAUGUAUAGGGACUGGGCCCAUUAUACCCAAGGUCAAGGCCACCAAGGUCUUAUACUUAGUUGAUUUUUAAGGUUAAAGUUUUUCGGCAACCUUUGUUUUUCUGUCAUACUUUGUUACUUUUGCUUAUAUCAUACUGUAAGUUCACAUAAACAUUGUCCAGCAUACAAACAAAGUAUGUAUAGGGACUGGGCCAAUUAUAUCCAAGGUCAAGGUCACCAAUGAGUUAUACUUUGAAUUAUUUUCAUGUUAUUUUUUUUUUGAAAGCUUCGUUUAUAGACAUAUCUUUGGUACUUUAAAAGAUAAUGACUUGAUAUUAAAAGUAUUUGUUUAUAAUCAUUUGCAUGUGUGGCUACAUACCCCAUAACUCUAAUUGUGUUUUUGACAGAAUUAUGCCCAUUUUGUACUUAAACUUUUUUGCAAUCCUUGCUUCUGGAUUUUACUUUAAUGCAAUAUAAGAUAAAGACUUGAAACUUAAAAUGUAUCUUUAUCAUCAUCAUCUGCAUGUGUGGUAACAAUCCCCAUAACUCUGAUUUGUAUUUUUGACUGAAUUAUGCCCCUUCUAUUCAAUUUUUUACAAACUUCAUUUUCUGGACAUAACUUUGGUACUAUAUAAGAUAAUGACUUGAAACUCAAAAUAUAUAGAGGAUAUUUGUUUGUUUUGAGUGAAUAUGGAAUAUAUCUCAUUGAGAAGUGAGAAAAUUUCAAAUAUUUCACGAGCGCGUAAUGUGAUGUACACAAUGUAAUGAGGGGGUGGAGCUAUAUCUCUCACAGUGUGAAAAUAUAGAUUUCAUAUUGUCACAGUGUGAGUGAUAAGAUAUGAAAAUAUUUACCUGAUAGAAUACAGUAUUUCAUUAGUUAGCAUAAAAUAAAUUUUUAUCAUCAUCAUCUGCAUCUGUUGUAACAAUCCUAAUAACUCUAAUUUUUGUAUUUGAUGGAAUUAUGUCCCUUGGUGUAUCUUCCUUUUAAUGUAGAGGUCUCUUAUUCAGACAUAUAUUCAUUUACUGUCAAAUCUCCGAAUAGUGGAGUGCACAGUCUUACGGACAGCUGUUAAUAUGGAAAUAACAAAGCCACUUUCUGAUUGAAACUAGCUGUAAUACAGAUAAUGAAUUUUGAUGUAUAUACAAAAUUCUGUCAGUGGUGAUAAAUGUCACGCAGUGAUAUACAUUAACUGUGCAAAGCUAUGAAGUCUUCAGAAAAAGCAAUGUCAUUUAAAUUGAAAGUUACCUUGUUUUAACUUAAAUGGUUAAUAUUUUGUUGCCAAAGUUUCGUUUUUAAAUAUCAAUAGAAGUACACAUAAAAACUUGCAAUGACCUGCCAUGAGUCAAAGAUGUAGUAACAGCACAAGUAGCUAUGGAAUGGAAAAAUCAAGCUUUGUUUCUAUACUAGUUGUGUGAUGCCAUGUCUACAGAUUUGGUAAGUGAUAAGGGCAGUUUCCAUGCAAAUGUCCAAGUUGUAAUGAAGCUAGAGAACCAAGGUAUGUCUUCAGAUAUUGAUACAUGCAUGGGAAGCCAUUUGGGCAGAACAAUCAACAUUAUGCACUCAUAAUAGCUUUUCCUCUGGAAAGAAAUGUACAUCAGGAAAGUUGUUUUGUAUCAUCACAUUCAUCAGUCAUUCGGGGUAGAGCAAGCCUGUACCUGGCAUGACCCAGCCUUGCCUAAUAAGGAGAAAUGGAAAUAACAGUGGAGUAAUAUUCUUUGCACUUACUGGGUUGUUUCUGGCACCUGUUAUGUUGAAAAGGGUGUCAUUCACAACUUUGCUUGUGCUUAGAAAACUGACUACUCGAGUAGCUUUUUUAAUUCUGUUGGUUUCAGUUUUCUUUUUCAGUUAUUACAUUAUGCUGUAGUUGUUAAAUCUUAUUCAGGAAGUAUUUCAUUGAACAGCAGAGAAACAGCUCCGUACUAUUGCAUGGAACCCAAAUAGCAAUAUCAUAAAAAAAAAUUGGAUGACUUCUGUAACUCAGUGUAUUCAAGGUGAUUUAGAAGAUCAGUGUGUAGUAUGAUCAAGGUAAGUAUUCUGGCAAAAAUGACCAUUCAUUUCUUGAAUAUUCUACAGUUA